rnacentral:rRNA from 1 species
CAGUCGCCGCGGUAAAACAGAGGGUGCAAGCGUUAAUCGGAAUUACUGGGCGUAAAGCGCGCGUAGGUGGUUUGUUAAGUUGGAUGUGAAAUCCCCGGGCUCAACCUGGGAACUGCAUCCAAAACUGGCAAGCUAGAGUAUGGUAGAGGGUGGUGGAAUUUCCUGUGUAGCGGUGAAAUGCGUAGAUAUAGGAAGGAACACCAGUGGCGAAGGCGACCACCUGGACUGAUACUGACACUGAGGUGCGAAAGCGUGGGGAGCAAACAGGAUUAGAUACCCGAGUAGUCCCUGUCUCUUAUAC